UAUCUAUUUUAAUGGUGUUGGUUGCGGCCUCCGGGGGUUCUCCCCCCGGGUGGUAGAGGUAACACUCUCACGCGCCACAUGCCUUAAUCCUUUUUUUACGAGCACCUUUCGUUCUCCUUCGGUGGGGCAACCUGCCGCUGGAACUUAUCAAAAACCUUUUUUUGCAUCUAGCAUUACCUGUUCUGAUACAAACAAUCGUUACAACUUUCAACAAUGGAUCUCUUGGCUCUGGCAUCGAUGAAGAACGCAGCGAAAUGCGAUAAGUAGUGUGAAUUGCAGAAUUCAGUGAAUCAUCGAAUCUUUGAACGCACAUUGCGCCCCUUGGUAUUCCAUGGGGCAUGCCUGUUCGAGCGUCAUCUACACCCUCAAGCUCUGCUUGGUGUUGGGCGUCUGUCCCGCCUCUGCGCGCGGACUCGCCCCAAAUUCAUUGGCAGCGGUCCUUGCCUCCUCUCGCGCAGCACAUUGCGCUUCUCGAGGUGCGCGGGCCGCGUCCACGAAGCAACAUUACCGUCUUUGACCUCGGAUCAGGUAGGGAUACCCGCUGAACUUAAGCAUAUCAAUAAGCGGAGGAAAAGAAACCAACAGGGAUUGCCCUAGUAACGGCGAGUGAAGCGGCAACAGCUCAAAUUUGAAAUCUGGCUCUCUUUGGGGGUCCGAGUUGUAAUUUGCAGAGGAUGCUUUGGCAUUGGCGGCGGUCUAAGUUCCUUGGAACAGGACAUCGCAGAGGGUGAGAAUCCCGUACGUGGGCGCCUGCCUUUGCCGUGUAAAGCUCCUUCGACGAGUCGAGUUGUUUGGGAAUGCAGCUCUAAAUGGGAGGUAAAUUUCUUCUAAAGCUAAAUACCGGCCAGAGACCGAUAGCGCACAAGUAGAGUGAUCGAAAGAUGAAAAGUACUUUGGAAAGAGAGUCAAAAAGCACGUGAAAUUGUUGAAAGGGAAGCGCUUGCAGCCAGACUUGCCCGCAGUUGCUCACCUAGGCUUUGGCCUGGGGCACUCUUCUGUGGGCAGGCCAGCAUCAGUUUGGGCGGUUGGAUAAAGGCCUCUGUCACGUAUCUUCCUUCGGGAAGACCUUAUAGGGGAGGCGUAAUGCAACCAGCCCGGACUGAGGUCCGC
rnacentral:rRNA from 1 species